CAGUAGCCACGGGAAUACGGAGGGAGCUAGCGUUGUUCGGAAUUACUGGGCGUAAAGCGCACGUAGGCGGAUAUUUAAGUCAGGGGUGAAAUCCCAGAGCUCAACUCUGGAACUGCCUUUGAUACUGGGUAUCUUGAGUAUGGAAGAGGUGAGUGGAAUUCCGAGUGUAGAGGUGAAAUUCGUAGAUAUUCGGAGGAACACCAGUGGCGAAGGCGGCUCACUGGUCCAUUACUGACGCUGAGGUGCGAAAGCGUGGGGAGCAAACAGGAUUAGAUACCCCUGUAGUCCCUGUCUCUUAUAC
rnacentral:rRNA from 1 species